UACAGAGGGUGCGAGCGUUAAUCGGAUUUACUGGGCGUAAAGGGUGCGUAGGCGGUUGUAUAAGUGUGAUGUGAAAGCCCUGGGCUUAACCUAGGAAGUGCAUCGCAUACUGUACAGCUAGAGUAUGGGAGAGGGUGGCGGAAUUUCCGGUGUAGCGGUGAAAUGCGUAGAGAUCGGAAGGAACGUCAAUGGCGAAGGCAGCCACCUGGCCCAAAACUGACGCUGAGGCACGAAAGCGUGGGGAGCGAACAGG
rnacentral:rRNA from 1 species